rnacentral:rRNA from 1 species
UACGUAGGGCGCAAGCGUUGUCCGGAAUUAUUGGGCGUAAAGAGCUCGUAGGUGGUUUGUCGCGUCUGUCGUGAAAGCCCAUGGCUUAACUGUGGGUCUGCGGUGGAUACGGGCAGACUAGAGUGAUGUAGGGGAGACUGGAAUUCCUGGUGUAGCGGUGAAAUGCGCAGAUAUCAGGAGGAACACCGGUGGCGAAAGGCGGGUCUCUGGGCCGAUACUGACGCUGAGGAGCGAAAGCGUGGGGAGCGAACAGG